rnacentral:rRNA from 1 species
UACCAGCACCCCGAGUGGUCGGGACGUUUUAUUGGGCCUAAAGCAUCCGUAGCCGGUUCUACAAGUCUUCCGUUAAAUCCAACUGCUUAACAGGUGGGCUGCGGAAGAUACUAUAGAGCUAGGAGGCGGGAGAGGCAAGCGGUACUCGAUGGGUAGGGGUAAAAUCCGUUGAUCCAUUGAAGAACACCCGUGGCGAAGGCGGCUCUCUGGGACGGUACUGACGCUGAGACGCGAAAGCGUGGGGAGCGAACAGG